AGUAACGGCGAGUGAACCGGGAGAAGCCCAACGCCGAAUCCCGUCGCAAGUAAAAGGCUUCGGGACGUGUGGCGCACGGGUCGAAGGCAGCCGUUCGUUUCGUCUCGCGUAGUUCGGAGUUCCCUCGAUCGGGGCCGCCCGCGGCGGGUGCCAGGCCCAUUCGGUGCGGACGGCGAGCGACGGCCUUCGAUCCGAGAGUCGGGUUGCUUGGGAACGCAGCCCAAAUCGGGUGGUAAGCUCCAUCCAAGGCUAAAUACCGGGACGAGUCCGAUAGUCGACAAGUACCGUGAGGGAAAGUUGAAAAGAACUUUGGAGAGAGAGUUCAAGAGAACGUGAAACCGCCCAGGGGUAAACGGGUGGGACCGUUCACCGCGAUCGCGGGGGGACUCAGUCCGGUGCUGCACAAGUUGCCCAAACUCGAUUUGUGUGCGGCGGCGAGGUCCUCGGGCUUCGUCGUCGUUCCAAGGCCGGGUGGACGUCGAUCUUCGGAUAUGCUUUUGCGCUCGUGUCGCUGACGGAGGGGGCGAUUCGUCGUCACUUCUCGCUCGGCAUUAAUGGCGCGGGCGCUUCGGCGCGACGUUACCUUAUCAUUCACUCGGUCGGCUCCGGACGCACUUCCCCUCCGGUCCGUCGUCGCGACCCGUUCCCGGCGUGCAGGUCGACGCGCGGUGUCUCGUACGCGGAAGUCGAACCUUCACGGGAACUCCCUCCCCUCGCGGGGUCGGAGUCGUCUUCUGUCGGGCCCGCGACCGUACUGCCCCUUUCUGCCGGGGACGGAGGAACCAACGCGUGAUCCUUUACACGUGGCGAGCCGGUUCUUUCUCGUCGGACGUCCCGCGCGACCUCACCUUCGCCCCACCGUCUUGGGCGCGCGCGGGAAAGAGCGCGAGUAUCGGAACCGGCGCGGCCGCGUCGAUUCGCACCCCGCUGGCUCCCGGGUUCGCGGCUAUCCGGCCACGGGCUCGGGCGGCCGGCGUCGUUGCUCGGCGCCGCUUUACUCUGCCGCCCGCCACUUCGGGUCAGCGACAUGCAUCGCCAACCCACCCGCCCCGUCUUGAAACACGGACCGAGGAGUCCUGGCCGUUCGCGAGUCGUAGGGCCCUUACUAACCCCGGAGGCGUAGCGAAAGCGAGAGAGCGUGUUGGAGGGCACCGGAUUUGGAGAGGUGUCUCGGCGAAGUCGUUCGCGGGUCGGGGUUCGCCCCUUCCUUGCGGCCUCCGAGCCGUGCCCGAUCCUGCUGGCGCGACGAGUGCUCGUACACUUUCCGUCGGCCGCCCCGCGUUCGUUGUCAUCGCCGUAGUCGUCGGAUUUUCCUCCUCGCGGGGGAGAUGAUGUUUGUGGCUGCGGCGGACGUGCGUGCGGGUUGUUGUUCGGCGGCGUCACCUUCCUCCUUCCGCCCACCGGUGAGAUCCCGCGGCUUGAACCAGCACACUUUUGUUCGUCGAGUUUAGGCACUGCACGCGGGCGCAUCACCCCCGGGUCGGAUUUCCGAGUACGACUCGGCCGACUCUGGCGUAGCGAGCGACCAGGGACCCGAAAGAUGGCGAUCCACGCCCGGUCGGGAUGAAGCCAGAGGAAACUCUGGUGGAAGUCCGAAGCGCCUCUGACGUGCAAAUCGAUCGUCGGAACCGGGUGUAGGGGCGAAAGACCAAUCGAGCCGUCUA
rnacentral:rRNA from 1 species